UCAAAUGAGCGACCAUAAUAUAACCAGUUGUUUGUGUACUUCAACACAUGAUGUAUCAUUGAAAACGUGUAGGAAUUGUAUGUCAAUGGAAAUACAUGGAAUCCAACAUCCCAGCUGCUUUUGCAAUUUUUCAUACAGACUAUGAAAACAGUACUAUAGAGUAUAGUGUUCUUUUAAACGUUGUACAUGUUGUAGUGUUGUAACAAAUUACUUUUCAUCAACUAUAUGUACAAAAAUGAAUGAAGAAGGUUAGGAUGGAAAACUGGUGAAGAUGAAGGUUACAAUUGUGAUCUACAUAUUGAUUAGUUUGAAGCAGAUUUUGUUCUAAAGAGGGAAAUAAAUAAACAGUGUGUUUUAUAAAGAUGUUCAAUUAUUUACACAACAACAAAAAUAAUCAUUGUAUGAGAGAUAAAUGGAUAUAAGUGUAAAUAAAGACACUUUAUUUUC